rnacentral:tRNA from 1 species
GGAAGUUUGGGUGAGUGGCUGAAACCAGCAGUUUGCUAAACUGCCGUACGGAUUUCCGUACCGGGGGUUCGAAUCCCCCAGCUUCCGCUA